rnacentral:rRNA from 1 species
GGACCAGGCCAGUGGCUUUGUGAAUAAGUGGAACGAGUUGGAAAACUCGACCGAAGUGGGUGAUAGUCCCGUACACGUAGAAUAGCAGAAGUCCUUGAGUAGGGCGGGACACGUGAAAUCCUGUCUGAACAUGGGUCGACCACGAUCCAAGCCUAAGUACUCGUGCAUGACCGAUAGCGAACCAGUACCGUGAGGGAAAGGUGAAAAGCACCCCGACGAGGGGAGUGAAACAGUACCUGAAACCGGAUGCCUACAAACAGUUGGAGCCCAAGGUUUGUCCUGGGUGACAGCGUACCUUUUGUAUAAUGGGUCAGCGACUUAGUGUAUCGAGCAAGCUUAAGCCGGUAGGUGUAGGCGCAGCGAAAGCGAGUCUGAACAGGGCGUUCAGUUCGAUGCAUUAGACCCGAAACCAAGUGAUCUAGCCAUGAGCAGGUUGAAGGUACGGUAACACGUACUGGAGGACCGAACCCAUAUCUGUUGCAAUAGAUCGGGAUGACUUGUGGCUAGGGGUGAAAGGCCAAUCAAACUUGGAGAUAGCUGGUUCUCCGCGAAAUCUAUUUAGGUAGAGCGUCGACCGAAUACCCCGGGG